GAGGGUAUAGCUCAAGUGGUAGAGCGCACGCUUAGAGCGCAAGAGGUCCUGGGUUCAAACCCCAGUACCUCCA
rnacentral:tRNA from 1 species